CCUACGGGAGGCAGCAGUGGGGAAUAUUGGACAAUGGGCGAAAGCCUGAUCCAGCCAUGCCGCGUGUGUGAAGAAGGUCUUCGGAUUGUAAAGCACUUUAAGGUGGGAGGAAGGGUUGUAGAUUAAUACUCUGCAAUUUUGACGUUACCGCCAGAAUAAGCACCGGCUAACUCUGUGCCAGCAGCCGCGGUAAUACAGAGGGUGCAAGCGUUAAUCGGAAUUACUGGGCGUAAAGCGCGCGUAGGUGGUUUGUUAAGUCGGAUGUGAAAUCCCCGGGCUCAACCUGGGAACUGCAUCCGAAACUGGCAAGCUAGAGUAUGGUAGAGGGUAGUGGAAUUUCCUGUGUAGCGGUGAAAUGCGUAGAUAUAGGAAGGAACACCAGUGGCGAAGGCGAU
rnacentral:rRNA from 1 species